GAAAAGGAAACUAGCAGCAGUCCCAGCUACCACAAUGGAUCAGCAUCCAUUUGGCCAACAGGUGACUCUACCCCAGGUCGGCCUGAGAGGACCCAUCCCCCAUCUCACCAUUCUGCCCCAGUGACCUGGAUCCUGCCUCUACCACUUCUUCCCUGCACAGUCACUAGGAACGGACUCUGGCAGCAGAGCCGCGCUGUAGUGCCCCAGCCAGCCAGGAUCUCCCGGGCAUCAUUCCCCUUGGGAAUUACGGGGAUAGAGGAGUGAUGCCAGGAGCCAGGGGAGAAAAAUGCAUGGCAGCGAUGAGGGAGAGGAGGAGACAUAUGGAGCCGUUCAUGGAUUUCACACAGGUUCUGGGCUGGAAGGGGCUGCCAAGACCAUCAGUCCAAUCUUUGGUCUACAGGUUGGGAAACUGAGGCUCAAGGAAGGUCAGUGGGGGUCCAGAAGGAACCUUGUAUGUGAGAUCUGGAAGCAGGAAUUGGAGCAGCAGUUUCAUUCUGCUUCAGCUCAGGAAGCACUCAGGGGGACCGCACAGCUGACUGAGGUGGAGAAGGAAGGAGGAGU
rnacentral:sRNA from 1 species